rnacentral:lncRNA from 1 species
GUAGGUGGAUGGUGGAUGUACAACUUUCUCCCAUCUACGGUUUUGGACAAUUUGCUCAAACUUCUCAUAAUCUCCAUGCUCAAACAAGUUGAAAUUCCUCUCACUCCAGAUCUUUCGCCCUUCUAAUAUCUUUCGCCCUUCUAAUACACUCGAAAAGUAACAGAGUCGCCACCGAAUUUUAUUUAUCCCCAAAGAAGGGAAAGGAAAGUAUCGAGAAAACCUUGAGGGGUAGAGAAAAAGGGUUCGGGAGUUGGUUAUGCGAGGGGAAGGUAUUAGCACCCCUCACAUCCGUUGUACUCAACGGGAACCUUUUAGAGGGAAAUGUUUGUUUGUUUUAACGUGUUUUUUAAUGUUUGCUUGAUUAC